GAAGGUAUAGCUCAAGUGGUAGAGCACACGCUUACCAUGCAUAACGUCCUAGGUUCAAUCCCCAGUACCUCCU
rnacentral:tRNA from 1 species